rnacentral:rRNA from 1 species
UACAGAGGGUGCAAGCGUUAAUCGGAUUUACUGGGCGUAAAGCGUGCGUAGGUGGUUUCGUAAGUCGGAUGUGAAAGCCCCGGGCUCAACCUGGGAACUGCAUUCGAUACUGCGAGACUCGAGUUUGGUAGAGGGUGGCGGAAUUCCCGGUGUAGCGGUGAAAUGCGUAGAUAUCGGGAGGAACAUCAAUGGCGAAGGCAGCCACCUGGGCCUGAACUGACACUGAGGCACGAAAGCGUGGGUAGCAAACAGG